rnacentral:lncRNA from 1 species
AUUUAUUCUGUAAUGGUAUAAUAUAAAGGCUGGGAUGAAGGAAAAAUGCAUUUAUUAAGCAACUAAUGUGUACCAGACACUCUACUAAGUGUUUUUACAAAUAUUACCUUGAGAUACCCUAGAAAGCAGUUAAUAUUAUUAUCCUCAUUUUAUAGUUGAGGAAAUAGAGGCAAAUAGGGUUUGUGACUUUCCCAGGGUUACACAGCUAAUAAGUAACUAAGACUGGAUUGGAAUCCAGGUAAUUCUAAUUCUCUCUCUCCAGUGUUCUACUGUACUACCAGCUACCUAGAUACACUGAGUGUUGGGGAAGUAAAUAUAUAAUUAAAAAAUAGUUUGCGAGGCAGCUAUGUGAUUGAGUGGACAGAGAGCCAGGCUCAGAGAUGGAAGGUCCAGUACUCAAUCUACUGUCCCUUGUGUGUAUAUUUCAAGCUCUUCAGAUACUUCCCAGAUGUGUGAUCCUGGGGAAUGAACCUGUCAAUCACUUGCUGAGAUAUACGGCCCGUAUCAGAAGUGGGCACUACCAUGUGUUUGGAUGAUGGAGCUAAACUGUCAUAGGAGAAAGAAGAACAAUAUCCUCUUCAAUUUCAGACAAUCUUUGAAAUAAGGCAUCACCUUUUUAUUGGGCAGGGAGAAAAUAUUUCGUAAAGUAGCGUAACAUCUGUUUCUCCCUUGCUAUUCAGCUAGAGUUG